AGCAGAGUGGCGCAGCGGAAGAGUGCUGGGCCCACAACCUAGAGGUUGAUGGUUCAAAACCAUCCUCUGCUA